rnacentral:misc_RNA from 1 species
UCCGAGUUGACCCCGGCAGUCUCCUGUGAGUCCCCAUCACCCCGAAGGGCAUGCUGGCAACACAGAACAAGGGUUGCGCUCGUUGCGGGACUUAACCCAACAUCUCACGACACGAGCUGGCGACAGCCAUGCACCACCUGUGAAAGUGUCCCGAAGGAAAACCGUGUUUCCACGGUGGUCACUUACAUGUCAAGCCCAGGUAAGGUUCUUCGCGUUGCGUCGAAUUAAACCACAUGCUCCGCUGCUUGUGCGGGCCCCCGUCAAUUCCUUUGAGUUUUAGCCUUGCGGCCGUACUCCCCUGGCGGAUAACUUAACGCGUUAGCUGCGCCACCGAAACUCUAAGAGCCCCGACAGCUAGUUAUCAUCGUUUACGGCGUGGACUAC